rnacentral:sRNA from 1 species
UAGUAGGUUACACGGUAUUAUACACGAA